CUACCUUCGGUAUGUUGAUGACGCCAUCACGGUAUGGGAAAGAUAUAGGAAUCCGAAGAUCUUAAAAGAGAAACUCACAAUCGAAGCCUAUGGGACUACCCUGAAACAACAGCAGUCUAGCAAGACAAUGGCAUACUUCUUAGACCUGAGCUUCAAAGUUGAAAAUAAGACACUAACUACUGCAGUAUAUAGAAAACCCAUGUACGAUCCUGUGUUAAUUCUCAGAUGGUCCACGGAUCCGUUCAAGUAUAAACUCUCAGCGUUUCGUUACAUUUUUAGAAGAACCAUCCUCUACAACAACACAUCUGAAGGCCUAAACAAAGAAAUCGAAU
rnacentral:lncRNA from 1 species